GUGUUUGUAGCUUAGUGAUUAGAGCGUUUGACUCAGGACUGAAAGGUCGUGGGUUCGAUUCUUGACCAAAUAGA
rnacentral:tRNA from 1 species